CCGAGCCUAUAAUCCAUUCGGGCAUUGAGAGAUGGAGCCCGGAGACGUGCUUUGAGACACGAGCACGGGCCCUAUGGGGCGCAGCAGGCGCGAAACCUUUACACUGCGUGAAAGCGUGAUAAGGGGAUCCUGAGUGCCCUCUCACUGAGGGGGCUUUUCUGGAGUGUAAAUAUUUCCAGGAAUAAGCAGCGGGUAAGACGGGUGCCAGCCGCCGCGGUAAUACCCGCGCUGCAAGUGGUGGCCACUAUUAUUGGGCCUAAAGCGUCCGUAGCCGGCCAGAAGGGUCCUUGGUGAAAUCCUAUGUAAAGCAUGGGGCUUGCCAAGGAAACUAUUUGGCUAGGGACCGGGAGAAGUCGGAGGUACUCUUGGGGUAGGGGUAAAAUCCUAUCAUCCUGAGAGGACCACCUGUGGCGAAAGCGUCCGACUAGAACGGCUCCGACGGUGAGGGACGAAAGCUUGGGUCGCGACCCGGAUUAGAUACCCGGUUAGUCCAAGCCGUAAACAAUGCCCGUUUGGUGUAUCAUAUCCUAUGGGGAUAUGAUGUGCCGGAGCAUAGGUGUUAAACGGGCCGCCUGGGGAGAACGACCGCAAGGUUUAAACUUUAGGGAAUUGGCGGGGGAGCACCACAAG
rnacentral:rRNA from 1 species